rnacentral:rRNA from 1 species
GGCCUGGCUGGCCGGUCCGCCUCACCGCGUGUACUGGUCCGGCCGGGCCUUUCCUUCUGGGGAACCUCAUGCCCUUCACUGGGCGUGUUGGGGAACCAGGACUUUUACUUUGAAAAAAUUAGAGUGUUCAAAGCAGGCCUUUGCUCGAAUACAUUAGCAUGGAAUAAUAGAAUAGGACUU